GCUACCUGCAGUCGAGGGGUAGGGUUACUUCGGUAUCUGAGACCCCCGCACGGGUGCGUAACGCGUAUGCAAUCUACCUUUUACUAUGGGAUAGCCCAGAGAAAUUUGGAUUAAUACCAUAUAGUAUAUUUGAAUGGCAUCGUUUGAAUAUUAAAGAUUUAUCGGUAAAAGAUGAGCAUGCGUCCCAUUAGUUAGUUGGUGUGGCAACGGCAUACCAAGACGAUGAUGGGUAGGGGUCCUGAGAGGGAGAUCCCCCACACUGGUACUGAGACACGGACCAGACUCCUACGGGAGGCAGCAGUGAGGAAUAUUGGUCAAUGGAGGCAACUCUGAACCAGCCAUGCCGCGUGCAGGAUGACGGUCCUAUGGAUUGUAAACUGCUUUUGUACGGGAAGAAAACAAACUACGAGUAGUUAAUUGACGGUACCGUAAGAAUAAGGAUCGGCUAACUCCGUGCCAGCAACCGCGGUAAUACGGAGGAUCCAAGCGUUAUCCGGAAUCAUUGGGUUUAAAGGGUCCGUANGCGGCCUUAUAAGUCAGUGGUGAAAGUUUUUGGCUUAACCAAAAAAUUGCCAUUGAUACUGUAGGNCUUGAAUAUCUGUGAAGUACUAGAAUAUGUAGUGUAGCGGUGAAAUGCUNAAUAUACAUGGAAUACCGAUUGCGANGCAGGUUACUAACAGAUGAUUGACNCUGAUGGACGAAAGCGUGGGUAGCAACAGGAUUAAAUACC
rnacentral:rRNA from 1 species